rnacentral:misc_RNA from 1 species
AGCGGUGACGAGGUCAUGCCG